UUGUCAGCGUCUGACAAUACAAGUCUACACUCAAGCCGAGGAACAUGGAUUGCUGCCACCAGCUGUUUGUUACACCGCCACCAAACACAACAGAGUACCGGAAACACCUGGAGCAGGCUCUGUUGUAGCACUUGAAGGUUGCUUCGAGCACUCUAGGUCUUGCUUGCUGGCCGCAGUAGGAGGCAACAGCCUCACAGAAGUAGAGAUGCCUUACAGUCUGGCGUCGCAGCCCAGUGCCAUCCAACCUAGACUUGGUAACCAGUGAGAAGUCUUCGGCACUCAUCCUAGUGACAGUCCUGGGUAUCUGGGGUGUAGAGGCACUUUCUGACUCUUCAGAUUCAAGGUGACAGCACACCCAAGCCCUAGUUGAGGCUUCAGUACUGACUUUGCCAGACUCUUGCAGUUGACAUUAUGAACAGCAUUGUGGACUUCUUUCUGCAUUUCGUGUGAUCCCCCAUGUAACAGUUUGCAACAGCAUCAGAAGAAUAAGAGAGAGAUUUUUUCAAGCUUGGCAGGUCACUGCAUGACUUGACUUUCUGCAUGUCAGAAUUGGAUGGGGGAGGUGUAUCGGCACUCUUGCACAGCACACGGAUACUCUCACACCCUACUGGACAUUUUGAGAAGACUAUCUGCAGUCCAGUGUUCGCAGUGGAAGAUCCCCUUCUCACCUUACUACCCUCUACCUCCUUGUACAGUUUACAGUAC